rnacentral:rRNA from 1 species
AGACGCUGGCGGCGUGCCUAAUACAUGCAAGUCGAACGGUCUUUUCUAUGGAAGCUUGCUUCCGCUGAGAAGAUAGUGGCGAACGGGUGAGUAACACGUGGGUAACCUGCCCAUAAGAGGGGGAUAACAUCCGGAAACGGGUGCUAAUACCGCAUAGUUUUCUUGAUCGCAUGAUCGGGAAAGGAAAGACGGCCUUUGUGCUGUCGCUUAUGGAUGGACCCGCGGCGUAUUAGUUAGUUGGUGAGGUAACGGCUCACCAAGACGAUGAUACGUAGCCGACCUGAGAGGGUGAUCGGCCACAUUGGGACUGAGACACGGCCCAAACUCCUACGGGAGGCAGCAGUAGGGAAUCUUCCGCAAUGGACGAAAGUCUGACGGAGCAACGCCGCGUGAGUGAAGAAGGUUUUCGGAUCGUAAAACUCUGUUGUCAGAGAAGAACAAGUUGGAGAGUAACUGCUCCAGCCUUGACGGUAUCUGACCAGAAAGCCACGGCUAACUACGUG